GUGGGUGACGUCGGGGAGAAGAAGGGGAGGAAGGAGAAGAAGAGAAGAAGAAGAAAGGAAGGAAAAGGAAGAGGAGAAGGGAAGAAAGUAGCUGCGGCUGCGGUUGUGGCAGCUGCAGCUGUGGCAGGGAAAGAAGAAGAGAAAGGAAGAAGGGGAGGAGAGGAAGAAGAGUAGGGGCUGCGGCUGCGGCGAUGGCAGCUGCAGUUGGAAGAGAAGAAGGAGAGGAAGAUGAGCAGGGGAGGAAGAAAAGGCUGUGGCCGUGGCUGAGGCUGCGACUGCAGCAUGCAGCUGGGAAAGAAGAGAAGGAAAGGAAGAAGAAGAGAAAGGAAGAAGGGAAGGAGAGGAAGAAGAGAAGGGGCUGCGGCUGCGGCGAUGGCAGCUGCAGUUGGAAGAGAAGAAGGAGAGGAAGAUGAGCAGGGGAGGAAGAAAAGGCUGUGGCCGUGGCUGAGGCUGCGACUGCAGCAUGUAGCUGGGAAAGAAGAGAAGGAAAGGAAGAAGAAGAGAAAGGAAGAAGGGAAGGAGAGGAAGAAGAGAAGGGGCUACGGCUGCGGCGAUGGCAGCUGCAGUUGGAAGAGAAGAAGGAGAGGAAGAUGAGCAGGGGAGGAAGAAGAGGCUGCGAGUGUGGUGGCUGCGGCCGUGGCUGCGACUCCGGCUGCGGCUGCAACGUUGGCUGCGGUAGCUGCGGCAGCGGUGGUGGCUGCAGUAGCUGCUUUUGGGAAAGAGAAAGAGUAGGAACGAGAGAAGGGAAGAAGGAAAUAGUGCAGUGGAAGGGGGCUGCGGUUGUGACCGCAGUUGCGGUUGUGGCUGCGAUUGUGGCAGCGACAGCGGCGACGGCUGUGGCAGCUGCGUUUGGGAAAGAAAAAAGAAGGAAUGAGAGUAAGAGAGAGCAGGUGACUGUGCCUCGAUGUUCGACACGUGAUGUAGUUGCGAAGAAAGGAAGAAAACGGGAGCACAAAACGAAACAGAGAGAGGACACGGAGAAAAAGUAGAAGGAUUUGGGCUGGCACCUUCUUUGGAUCUUCGGAUCGAAAUCUUUGAAAGGUCAGCUUGUCACUCUUCGAGAUGUUUGAUUUGGGCUGAGGCAGUGGAUAGCUAUUCAGAAUAAUGGGCAAGUCUGGUUGGUUAUUACGAUAUUGUUGUAUAAGUAUGUCUUGUAUGUAAUGAAAUGUUGUCGAUGAACCGAAAUGGAUAUACUGUGUCAAAGUGUUAGGAGAUCUCUCUUAUUUGGAAUUUCAGAAUGUUAAGUCUAAUUUAUGGUGAUAUGAACUUGUGGUGAAUAGUUGGAGUUCUGAUUGUAUAAUUUAUUUAGCUUGUGGAUUUAUAAAUGUUGUUCAUGUUUGUCAA